AUCUUGUUAUUUCCAACGGGAUCCCCAAGAAUUCAAAAAAUAUGAAUUCCUUUACCGUUCUUCAUUCUUUCAAGUGUUCUUUGAGUUCUCGCCAUUUCGUUGCAAUUUCAAGGAUAUGGAGGUAAUUGAGAUGAAAAAGAUAAGAGUAUGGUGAAUUUCUAGCAGUAAAGGUGAAAAUAUCGGAGAAUGGCUAGAAAAACAUAUCUAGUAAAGCAUGAGAAGGACGACCAAGGAACCAAGAUUUUGGGGAAAUUUUCUUGGAGCUGAAGGAAAGAACCAUGAAGCUACAUAACAUAGUUAAAAAGGCGCUAAAUCCAUUGUACCUUAACACCGUUCACAUACAAGCCGAUCAAUGGCUACAGGAUUUUCAACGCACUAUUGAUGCUUGGCAGGUUUGACAAUUUUUAUCUAAUUAUUUUAGUUAGGUCUCUCUAAAUUUAAUUAAUAGGAACAAUUGUUAAGAGAAAUGAGAUAUAGAUUUCAAUUUUGAGUAUGCCAUUACCAUGCUCAUUAAUAAUUUUGAUUUAUAUGAAGCGGACAAGAAGAAACAAAUUUUCAUUUCAGAUUGGCUCGAAUAGUGGAAUGGAUAAAGAAGAUUUUGAUAGUGAAACCAACUAAUUCGGGAUUGCAAUAUACUUCAUUGAUUUAUUUUUCAUUGAAUUUAUGGUUUUCAAAUAAGAG